GGCCCCUUGGCGCAGUGGUCAGCGCAUUACUGGUUGUUGCACUCUCACUCUGAGCCGUUGGCAGCACACACGCAGUAAAGGUCCUCGGUUCGAAUCCCUGGGGGGCCA
rnacentral:tRNA from 1 species